UGAGCCAUUAGCUCAGUUGGUAGAGCAUCUGACUUUUAAUCAGAGGGUCGAAGGUUCGAAUCCUUCAUGGCUCACCAU
rnacentral:tRNA from 1 species